rnacentral:lncRNA from 1 species
AGGGUAACUGUUGCCUGGGGUUACAUCAAUAAACUUCAGUAAAAUUGUGGUUCUGAUCACCAGGAGGACAAGGGAUGGGUGUUAGGUUGACACUUGCUCAGGUUCUCUAGAAGCAGAGCCAAAGAUGGAGAUUCUUGGGCCAGCCCUGACAGCUUGGGGGUUAAAGUUCAGCACGCUCUGCUUCAGUGGCCUGGGUUCAGUUCCCGGGUGUAGACCUACCACUUGUCUGUGAGUAGUUACUGGAGAAUCCGUGAAGAAGUGAAGGAAUCAGGAUGCGGCCAGCAACAUGUGAUUCCAUCAGAAGUCCAGCCUCCGCCUCAUUCUGAGGACCAUGUUCUCUGACACCCGUCCCAUCCAGAGGUGAGCCUGUGGCCCUUCCCUCGGAGCUGGGCGUGACUCCAACUGCUCUGACAAGACACUAUGGUGGAGUGAUGCUGCGCUGCUUUCCAGAUAUUCUCUUCCAAAGACCCUCGGGCUGCCAGUCCCGGGAGCGCUCUCCUUCCAGAACUGCGGGGCUGGCUGCGCACAGCCAGCGGACUCCGGCCCUCCGUCCAGCCCAGAAGUCCGCUUGGCCGGCUCCCAGAAAUCCUGCAGCUUCUUCAAAUGCCACCCUUUCACUUUGACAAUUGAUUUGCACUUUUUCUGAUUUAUCCGAAAUUAACAACUAUCAACAGAGAGAGAGUGACAAAAAAUGCUGCUGGAUUAGGAGGGAUAGACACGAGGGUUAAACGGAGAGAACGACUGACCGGAGACUAAUUUUACAAGUGUCUGCAAGCCUAUGCGGGAAUCUUUUCGUGCCUGAUGCUUCCCUGUGAAACCGUGUGACUGUGGGGAUCAGAGCACAGAACUCGGACGAUGAGGAGCCUUUGAAAUGCUGUUCAAUCUGAGAACAACUAGCAAGACGCAGGCAUCUGUUUGCACUACGCAGAGAAAAAAAACAGACUCGGGGAAACUUGCAUAAGUGCGCUCUGCUCACCUGCACGGCCCGGCCAGAGGCCAAACUUACUCCCUUCCGCGUCUGCGCUGUGUUAUGCUAGGCCCGCCUCUGCGCAGCCAAGCACCGCGCCUCAGCGCUCACACCCACGCUCCACGCCCCGCUCGCUGUCAGUCUCCAGUUUUCGACACACUUUAGUCUCUCCAAGCCCAAAGCCCUCCUGAGGAGGUCCUCACCCAAAAGCCCCAGUUAUCCCCAGACUGCAAGUGUCUCAA